rnacentral:rRNA from 1 species
GAUGAACGCUAGCGGCAGGCCUAACACAUGCAAGUCGAGGGGUAUAGUUCUUCGGAACUAGAGACCGGCGCACGGGUGCGUAACGCGUAUGCAAUCUACCUUUUACAGGGGAAUAGCCCAGAGAAAUUUGGAUUAAUGCCCCAUAGUGUUAUAGAAUCGCAUGGUUUUUAUAACUAAAGUUCCAACGGUAAAAGAUGAGCAUGCGUCCCAUUAGUUAGUUGGUAAGGUAACGGCUUACCAAGACAAUGAUGGGUAGGGGUCCUGAGAGGGAGAUCCCCCACACUGGUACUGAGACACGGACCAGACUCCUACGGGAGGCAGCAGUGAGGAAUAUUGGACAAUGGGCGCAAGCCUGAUCCAGCCAUGCCGCGUGCAGGAAGACGGUCCUAUGGAUUGUAAACUGCUUUUUGUACAGGGAAGAAACACUCCCCUCGUGAGGGAGCUUGACGGUACUGUAAGAAUAAGGAUCGGCUAACUCCGUGCCAGCAGUCCGCGGUAAUGUAUCGUACG